AUGAAAAUAUUGUUUUUUUAAAUGUUUGCCUCUCCUUGUUUGUUCAUGACGAUUCUUCAGCCUGAGGACAGAGAACGUCUGCGUAACAUUUUCCUGGUAAUCACUCCGAUAGAUAAUUCAGUGUGGGUGAAAUCGAUGGACCAGCGGAGCGACGGUGUCGGUACUGUGGGAUGAAGAUUUGUCCGUCAGCGUCUUGUGUUCUUCUGUCCAACGUCUGCGUUUCUUUCCUGUUACUGGUCAGCCUCAGAUUUGGUUAUUACUCUGCUACUCUGCCUAGAAGGCCAGAACGCCGAGCCGCCUCUUCUCUGCAGACGCUGAGACCGGUUACACCUUCGCCCCCGUUCAAAAGACCUGGUCGUGGGACCAAAAGCGACAUAAAAAAGACAAUUAUCAUUUGAGAGGAGUCGGGUGUCGGCUGGGCGGCGUGACAGCGGCGUAUACAUCAGCUUCCUGAGCACAGCGAUGAUGUUUCGCCCCACAAAGGAAGGAACAAUGUCAAGAGCAGCAAAACACUGACAUGGAAGAUGAGAGGAAGAAGACACAGCCUAGUUUUAGUUUUCAGUUGUUAAACUUGAAAUAUUAAAACUGUAAUAAAAUCAACCAGUAUCUUGUGCUCCAGGCGGAUUAAUCAAACAAGUGGAGGAGAGGCUUCAGUGCAAUGAAAGGAAGAAAAUGUGCUGACGUGAGAAAGUCAAAAGUCUCCUACUGUAACUCAGCACAGCUGGAGGUCGUCCAGCACUGCAGAGUUUCACCAAUCACAACAUGCUUUACUUGUUCUGUGGACUCGAAUAACCACAGAGAAGAACAGAUGUUGUCUUGUUAUUAUAGGCGUCAUUAAAGAACAUAUAGAUCUGUUGUGAUUCAUAUGACUGAGCCAGUAAAUAUUAAUUCCUAACUCAGACUUUGAUUCUUUGUCUGCUCAUCUCUGUGUCCACGGACGUUCCUUUAGAUCCAGACUACUAAACUGU